rnacentral:rRNA from 1 species
UACGGAGGGUGCAAGCGUUAUCCGGAUUCACUGGGCUUAAAGGGUGCGUAGGUGGGUUUGUAAGUCAGUGGUGAAAUCUCCAAGCUUAACUUGGAAACUGCCGUUGAUACUAUAAAUCUUGAAUGUUGUGGAGGUGAGCGGAAUAUGUCAUGUAGCGGUGAAAUGCUUAGAUAUGACAUAGAACACCAAUUGCGAAGGCAGCUCACUACACAAAUAUUGACACUGAGGCACGAAAGCGUGGGGAUCAAACAGG